UUUGAUCCUUAUAAAGUACUUCACUACUACAAUUUGUUGAUCACUAAAGGAGAUGUUUCUAUAUAGCCAAGGAGAAAGAUGAAUGGUUCCGUUCUUGAUUGGUUGAUUGGAAUGGGAUGACUCGCUAGGUAUGGCACCUGAACGAACAAAUAGUGAGGGGAGGCUUCACCUACGUAGGCCAAAAAGGAAUGCUGUUUCUCCACUGAAGAAGUAUGAAGAUAAAAGAUUUUCUAAGAGGAGAAAAGUUAAGAGAUGGAGCUUACAUGAAGAAGCCACGUUAAGGACUGGUGUGCAGAAGUAUGGCAAAGGCAAUUGGAAGUUUAUCUUAAAUACAUACCGAGAU